AAUCCUGGCUCAGGAUGAACGCUAGCUACAGGCUUAACACAUGCAAGUCGAGGGGCAGCGGGAUUGAAGCUUGCUUCAAUUGCCGGCGACCGGCGCACGGGUGAGUAACGCGUAUCCAACCUUCCGUACACUCAGGGAUAGCCUUUCGAAAGAAAGAUUAAUACCUGAUGGUAUGAUGAGAUUGCAUGAUAUCAUCAUUAAAGAUUUAUCGGUGUACGAUGGGGAUGCGUU
rnacentral:rRNA from 1 species